AGGAUCUUCAGUCUGAGCUAACCC
rnacentral:siRNA from 1 species